ensembl:lncRNA
GUAAGAUACUUAAGACUGCAGCCUGCCGGCGCCAAUAGCAGGGCACCUUCAUGCAGGGGCUCUGUCUGUGUUUCAGGCUCAGAUUACUUAAAGAGCCUUAGUAAGCCAGUCUCCUUCCCUGUGUCUGCCUUCGUCAGCUUGUAUUUUGGCCUUUCUCAUGUUAUCUCAAGUCCUUCUUGUGUGGCAUGCUCAGUAGCUUUAGUUGCAUCUGACUCUGCCCCCCAGGCUCCUCUGUCCAAGAGAUCCUCCAGGCAGGAAUACUGGAGUGAGUUGCUAUGUCCUCCUCCAGGGGCUCUUUCCAACUCAGGGAUCAAACCUGCAUCUCUUAUGUCUCCUGCAUUGGCAGCUGGGAGCACCAUCCUGGGUCAGAACUGAAAGUACUCAGGCCACAAAGAAGGCAGUGAAUGGUUGGAAGCUGACCUACUGAUACUAUCCAGAAGUGUCAAUUCUGGUAACAGGAAACUUCCCAUGCAUCCAUC